rnacentral:tRNA from 1 species
GGCGUGGCUCAAUGGAAAGAGUCUGGGCUUGGGAUUCAGAGUUCAUGGGUUCGAAUCCCGACUCUGCCA